GCUGAAAGCCUAGUGGAUAACAAGAACCGAACCUGGGCAUAUGAUACUGGCAUCGGGGCUAACAAUACCGUAACUAAACCCUGGGGAUUCAGCAGUGCCCAACAAGACUCUUACUUAGCAUGUAACUCAUAGGUAAAAAGAAUAAAGAGCGGAACUCGUAUCAGCCCCUUAUGACUAGGGCCAAGCAAGAUAGAAUACGCAUAAGACAGUGAGACUAGAGCUUUACCUGCCCGAUAUCCAUGAAUCCUCUCUGGAAAGAAAGAAGAACGGCCUAUUCCGCGAGAUCCAAUCAUAUCUCUCUUUCUCUAUCGAAAGAAAGCCUAGUUACUUGAGUUGAAACAAUAGAAUUAGCCGAGGCUAUCCCAGUUCCAGUUUGGCUAAACGAGGAAAGUGUGUUUUUGGCAUAAAUCUGUCUUCUUCUUUAAACCAACCCGGAAACUAUUCCUUAUAGAUUGAGUUUUCCUACUAGACUCUUGACUCUAAAGUUCUCCUAUUAGAUGAGUUAAGUAUUUGAAGUGAAGCAGGCUUAAAAGGUGGAAGGGCUAGGCUUGCUACUGGGGUUGCCAAUAUGAAAGAGCUCCGCCUUUAUGACCUAUCUAAGUAAAUGAGCUUGCGAGGGAUCGAGCCCUUCUAUGGAUAAUUAUGUAUUAAGUAAAGUAAUAGAUGCGCCUUUCUACUAUAACCUCCAAGACCCUUAAAUUGCAGGGCCCCUAACGGAUUCAAUGUUACCUGGGAUCAAAUCCUUCCUAAAUGAAUUUCCUCUGGAGCUGGGUUCUUUCCCUCCGAAAUCUCUUUUUAUUGGCAACUGGAUUAGGCGUUUCCAUCUCUCAAACUAGAAGAAAGCGCUUUUUCACUUAUAAAGAAGGGAGCAGGUUAACUUGUAAACGGCAAGUCUAGGCUUGCUUCGCUCCAUUUCCCGUAAGCUCGUGAGGCGCCCAGUUAUUACGAUAGGACUCGUUGGUGACUGCUUUCUCUCUUUUAUCAGUGACUUGACAACAGACACCUAAUAACCUAUAGUUACUAACACUGUAUGAGCUUCCCUAUACUUCAAAAAGAGAAAAGGAUUAGCAUCUGAACUAAGCUGGUGAUUCAAGCGCAUCCCAUGCCUCCACUAGUAAACCUCCAUCCUCUAUCGCUGCUUCCUAUCUAAGUUAAGGCUUUAAUUGAACCAUUUUUCUCUCUAUGGGUUAGGCGGGCACAUCCUCUAGGAGGCAAAACCACAUAAGUAUUGCAUCUGUACGGAACAUGGCUCUGCACAAAGCUGGCCUCAAGACUGCACACCGCCCAUUUUGGAAGAGAAAGGUAACCACCCAGAGUUGUUUCCGGAUUCGCUCUGCCUGACUUCGAUCUAUCAGACCUCGUUCUCGUUGUAAAGUGUUUCAAAAAGAGCAAUUGGUUCCUAGUGCAAACGGACGGAUUGGGGCAAGAUUUGUAGGCUAGGCUCGGACAAGGUUAGGAAGGGCGAGAAGGAAGAGAGCUACUGUCGUCUGUUCUGUUCUCGUGCCUAAGCCAAUUAGGAAUUUGGACCUUUCUUUAGGUGGGGUAGUAUAAAGCAUACCAUCUAAAGAGGCUGGAAAGGAAGAAAUAGGUAGUAUAAAGCAUACCAUCUAAAGAGGCUGGAAAGGAAGAAAGAAAGAGCAAAGAUAAUCCUAUAUUGAAAGAAUUGGUUCCACCCGAUGGUACCUCAUUUCCUUUCGAGUUAACUGCAUGGGAUCUUUUCAUACGAGCUUCUGUUUUUUCUGUAAGAAGAAAAGAAGACCGAUUACGAAAGCACUAGCUGCGGCAACUGCUGGAUACUCAUACUUAAGCUCCGGAUACGAUCACACCAACAAGGACUAGCACUAGAUAUGUGAACAGCGUAUGAUGAUUCACUAUCAAACACAGAGGGCAUGAGAUUUCGAAAAGAGUGGAUUCGACGGGAUAUUCAAUCUAUACCUGGCGCAUUGACUCAUUCCAUCUAAACGGGAUAUUCAAUCUAUACCUGGCGCAUUGACUCAUUCCAUCUAAUAAGACGAAAGAAAGACACCUGCACACGAUCGAAAGCAAUGAAGGCUAAGAGCAGAUUCUAAAAGACCGCGUAGUUAAUAGAAAUAUAGAACUGGGACAAUACACUACUAAUGUGUAGCGGCAGGGCCAAGCAACGUAGUUAGUUGCGCGGCAGUCGGCCAAGCAACGAUUACUGUUGCGCGGCAGCCAAUAAGAAGUAGUGAAUAGUUAUAACCAAGUCCUUAGUCUUAGAACGCUAGUGAGUUAUGAGAAAGACCCCUCUCCACUUUGAAAGACCUUUGUUAGGUCGAAGAGCUAUUUAUAUUAUGGUGUAAAUAAAGAAACCCAUGAUUAAUAGAAUGACAAACUUUAGUAAUUCCUUGAAUUGGAGAAAUGAAAAUGUUAGAAGAUUGAUCUUGAUUACUCUUAGUAUGGCAGAUAUUCCUGUAUAAAUGAAAACUUGAAACACUGGUAUAAGUAUAAGAAAAGGCCCUAUACGUAAUUGCUAGCGCAUCUAUAGGUAUGAUAGAAUCUGGAACUAGCCGGCGUGCUCUUUCCUUCCCUAGUGUUCUUUCCUUUAAGUAAGAAUUCCACCCUAUGGCUCUGUGCUUUUGUAGUAGUUGGCUGCCGCGCAACAGUAGGAGUGAGUUCAAGUUAUAACCAAGUCCUGUGUGCCGUUUACAGCCUUGCCUUAACUUACCUUCAAGCUGUGUAGGAUGCGCUCAAUUCUCUUUUUGAGACUCCAUUCUCCUCUUUAGACUCAAUUCGAUUCUUUUGGUUGUAUUCUUAAGCUUCUACUGCAGCAGAUCAAGAUCUAUAUGAUUCUCUCGACGCAGCUUAUUCUCUUGCAACAACAGUUGGACCAGGAAAACAAGUAAUGGAACUUUAUAGCGCAGAAGACGAAAACAAGACUUCCGACUCUUGAAAGGCUGGAAACCAAACUAGUAACUACUAGACGCCAAGAUACAUAGUAAGUAGACAAAGGCUUGAAUCGGGCCAAGCUACGUAUACAAAGGCAAAGAGAGAAAGAAAGAAACAUAAUAAUGUAUUAGUAGCAGCUGUUACCAAGUCUCUCCUCCGAGUCCUGUGCCACUUAUAUAUCUGCUCCCGGGGUUUGGUGAAAACGGAUUGUAUGCAGCUGCUUCCCCCAUUUCAUCUUUGAUAACGGAAUGCGGAUCAUCUACUUCAUAAGCUAGAUCAGGUACAGGUAAAGGGGUUUAAGCGGCAGCUGUUCUCUUCUCUUCUUGCCUACCCGAACUCUACUCUCACUGAGUCUGAUCCAUAUCUUUCAACUUUACCUUGUAGUGGGCAUUUGCCAAGAACAGAAUAAUACUUUUAGCUUGCAGUUGACUUCCGCACUCGACUUGAAGAACCGAUUGCACCUGCUAUUGUUCUUGCUCCGGAAACUCGUUACGUGGCAGAUCCAUAUCACUUAUUUCCUUUUCUCUCUCUUGCUUAGCGCCCUGGCCUUUGAACUAGUUUAUGCCCCCACCCCUACCUCUCCUGGAAGUUAAGAAUUCAUUGAUUCUUUGUUUCCGGCUUCAGGGCGUUGUGGUCCAGGAAAGGUUUCGUUCUUGGAAUCAGAAUAAGAUUGAUAAGAUAAGUAUUAGGAUAAGAAUAAGAUGCUAUCCAACUGACAUCGUUCUUGUUCCCCGACUGGGUAUGAGAGAUGUGGGUAACAAACCGAGUCCUCUGAAACAAUAAAUACAGAAUUCCAACUUCAAACAAACAUAAGAAAAAGAAGAAUUAGCUACUAGUAGAGGUAUGAUAGAUACCGGUAACCCACAAUGUGCUCUAAGGUGACUCGGCUCGCUAACGCUUCAGACAGGUGCUGAAAGCCUAGAAACUACACUAGAAACUCCCCCAUACAUAGUUGUUAGUGCUGCAGAAGUAUCGUCUCCUUAGGUAUUUCUCGUAGAUAGAAUCCAGAUUGAAGUGAAGCUGACCCCUGACUUGCAGCAAUGAACUAUCUUACGCCUAACUAGAAGAUGGAAAUUGGACUCUCGAGCAGGCGUUUGCGUUACCUAACUUUCUCCUGUAUAACAUUGCCUCUCAUCGACCUUUUGAGUUGAGUUCGUUUCGGGGUUAACACUUAUUGGAGUGGUGCUUGAGUUUCUUGUCUAGUCGUUGCUUGUUGAAUACAACUGGUGCUUUUACUUGAUCUUUAUUGUAGUAAAGAAAGAAACUGUGCCUAACGAAACUAACUAGCAACUGGGCUACCAACUGCGUAUUAAGAGACUUCAACUAGGAACUUCUACUUUAACUAGUACUUCUCGGGAUGGAACUGAUGAAAACAAGGGCAGUAAGACCUAUAUGUUAAGAAGGGGCUAUGGACUGAAAGCAAAGAGGACAGCUUUGGAGUCGAUAGUGGAUUUCCCGGUUGUGAGUGGCAUUCUUCCUACUCUUUUAGUGUCUUCAGUCUUGGUAUCAGUGAUGCAAUCCAAGUUGUAAGUAGCGGUGGGCCGAGACAUUAGUUAAUAGGGCUGGGCAUGUCCCCACAGACUUCAGGCUUUUGGGCGGUAAUGUAGGUUUUGCAGCCAGUAGCGGCAGUAUGAUAAGCACUUUUUUCAUUUGAAAGAAGCCGAGUAAAGAUCCGGAUCUGAGUUAACAGUUAUUAAAGUACUAGAAGCGGUAAUUUCUUCUGUUGAUUGAUAUGCGUGUUUUCAUAUGAGAUUUUCUACUACCAUUGGGCUUUAACUGUUACCAUUAGAAUGAGACUCACCCUACCUACUCUAUUAGAGUGAAAUUACAGGCUAUCGGACUAUCACCUGUAAUGAGGAAUCUUACUCAUAAGUGUGAAUUGAAACCGGGCAUCCAAGAGCGAAAGUACCAAUCACCGACGGAGUAUACAGGAAUUGAGCUAAGCUUAUACUAUAAGAAUAGAGCAGCGGGCAAACGGACUAUAACAGCUAACUAUAAGCCUGCCGCUACUGACUUUGACUCUUACUUAUUAACUUGAAUGUAAUAGACUGGACUGAUAAAGACAAUAAAAGAAAUAAUAAAGUAUACCGGGCAUAGGCACUUAACUUAAUUAGUAUAGUAAUGAGUUGAACACACGAUAAGGAAACUCAAAACUCAAGUAGAGGAACCGGGCCCUGUAGUACUAACCUAACCUUUGCGCUUAAAACGGAAGCUAAUGCCUUAAAUGCCCAUCCAUGUUAGAGUUUUUGUAUUCCACUCGUUAGUUGCACCCUUGCUUAUGAGUUAGGGCCUACCGCUCUUUGCUUUCCAACCUCAACUCCCGUUUCUUACGGAAUUUAUUGCUUAUUUAUUUGUCUACUACUUGCUUCAAUGCCUAUGUUUACUCGAUAUAUGAAAUUCCACUCAUUAGACGGAAUGAAUGUGUUUUCUUAUACUUAUAUUAGUAGAUUAGUAUAGAAAAGAAGUAAAUACAAAUGAAUGAAGAGAACUAACUCAAUGGAUUUGAAGAAUUAGAUAAAGUAACUACGGGACUAACAAGAAAUGAAGUAGUGCCGACAACACUUAUCCCGCUAACCUGGAAUUAAAUCCAUGGUACAGUAUACCGUGCCUAGCUCUAAGGCGUUGAGUCAAAAAAAAAGAGAGACUUUACCACCUACACAAGCAAGAGACAGGCAGUGAGUUGGCAUACUCAAACUCGAGCAUAAGAUACGAACAUCGCCCCCAACGAAUUAGACAAAUUAGGGAAAUAGAGUCUUAGAAGCAGCAGCUACAGUCUUAGAAGCGGUAGUGUCAGUCUCAUAUGCCCCAGUUCUGUUAUCAUAGUCAGCAUAAGGAUUACCUUAUCCAUAUUUCAAGUCUUAGAAUACGUAGAGUAAGCCUGAGUUACGUGGUUAGGUCUUAUAAGAACUGGUUGUAGAAUGAGAUAAAGCAAUUCAAGAGGGAAUCAAUACUCAAGCAAGUAAGGCUCAUAAGUAGUAAAGCAAGGAUGUCAGGGGCAAAUUCGGAACUGUGGAAAGCCAUUUCAGAAUUCUAUCUAUGAGGUUCGGGCAGAAGCUCUCACUCCAUCCCAAGUGAAAGGCGGGGCCAAGUAACUGCUACAAACACAUAGCAUCAAAUAAAUACGUUAUACCCAGUUAUUCCGGAGUCCUAAUUAAUAGCGGCAGCGCUUCAACUUCUUUUGAGUCCUGUGCCCUUAAUUCAUUUCGGUAAGUCUACUAUAUUCAUUAGUUGGGGUAAGUCUACUACUGGUCAGAGGGGUGUAAGAAGUCACUAACCCAGUACUGUACGUGUUCGUAGGAAAGGCGGAAUUGCACUCUUAUUAUAGAUGAUCGGAGGCCAAGCAACUGUCGGGAUCUUUAUGGUUUUCGAGUGGAUCUUCAGCGGGAAGUAAGAUAGGCUCUUAGCACCUUACUUAUUAAGCCUGGCUUAGAUCUUUUCCUAGUUGACCUGGUCGCCAGCAGCUUGUUUCAAUUCAUUAAGUAUUUGUUGCAAUAGGGGCUUAGAGAACUGGAGAUCAAUAAAUCUACUUAAGGACUGACCGCUGAAGAGGUUUCAUUCUUUCUUAUAUAAGUGAUGAAACGAGGGGUGAUUCAAUGCGGGGCGCCAGCCAAGCCGAAAUGAGCAAAUAUUGGUUUACAGCCCCAACCCCCAGUAGUGGUGCUUUUGAAUCAGUAUUUCUUUCAGUAGUAUCGUAGUCCAGAGCCAUAACUUGAUUUGUUUACAGAGAAGACUAAGGAUCUCUCUUGCUGGUACGAUCUUAGCGCAUUCCUUCUUUCCCACUUUAGAGGAUUUGUAGGCGUUAACACUAGAGGCCCUUAUUGUAAGUUGAGGCAAGGGAAAGGGGGUUGCUUGUUGGAUGAAACACUACCUAAUAGCUUUCACUCGCACUGCUUCUAUAUAAGAUGAAACAAACAGUAGUUAGUUAUUAUGGAGUCCGGCUCUCAUGGCGGCAGGGAUAGUUGAGUCUACAGGUGUUGAGUCUACAGGUGAGGAAGAACAGUUAGAGUUUAGUCUACAGGUGUUGAGUCUACAGGUGAGGAAGCUGGGUUAAGGGCAGUGUCGUCUCUUGUUUCAUCUUAUCUUGUUUAUAAUCUUAUAAUUCUAAAGAAUCAGGGUUAGUUAGGUCGUAGAGAGAAUCACCAGUCCUGUGUUCUGCCAUGCUUUAUCGGUUCCUUGACUUACUGCUCCUUCGCAUACUAAGGUGUUUCCAGGGGGUCAGUUCCAUUAAGUACUUGAAAGUUAUGAUUCUGCUCUAACCAGAUAGUCCAGGGAAAGUGGAUUUCCCAUAAAACGACAGAAGUGAGGUCAGGUCAUUUGCCAUCAAACAAAAGAAGAGGAUUGAGCUCAAUAGUCAAAGGAGAAGUAGGCGCAUACCCGGAAUCAACACCAGAGCAGGAGAGCGUGGGUCCAAGGCUAAGAGAUAUGGUACGAUGUAGUGCAUCUUAGAUAAGAAGAAUAGUAAUACUACCAAUAUAUGAAUAAGAAUAUGGAUACCGAGUCGUAGAAUACAUCCUGGAACAGAGAAAUGCCACCUCCACUGAUGAGAAUGAAAAAACCCAAGUACUAGCAGGAAACUAAUACGCAAUAAACCCCCGCAACGCUGAACUGAACCUCCACGCUCUACGACAAGAGUAGAAACACUGCCAAUAGAACCUUAGCUCGGAACUCCGCCUUUUUCCCUUCUCUUGAAAACCAGAACUAAUGCCUGACAUCCAAACUAGAGCUGCUGAUCCGGACCUUUGCUUUGUAGAUUGAUUCUAACUAUCCGUGCUUUUGGCCUACCCUUACUUCCUUCACUUCUUUAGCUCCCGAACACAGGACUAAGAUCUUAAAGCAGACAACUAGUUCCCGAACACAGGACUUGGCGGUCAUUAUACAAAGCUUGGCGGGGCAAACAACUACUAGAAACUGUCUUUGAGAAUGGAAUGUGAGGUCUGUCCUUAGAAAUCCUUAUAUAUAAGAAGAUAGUGAUUCCCCCUAUCUUGACUUACCCGGUUAACCGUUUCAAAGCACCUUAGAUACUCGUCUAUAGCAUCUCAUCCACCUUCAUUAUGACUUCAAACUAUAACUCCCGGAACUUAACUUGCAGAGCCAAGCAACGUAGUUAGUAGACAAAGGCAAAGAUAGAAGACAAGCCAAUUACCUUUAAUUGAACUGGUAUGGGCAAGGCUGCUACUACUCCCCCAGCUAACCAGACUUUCCUGUCUACUAGGCUACCUCUCCUUGUUUUCAAUCUGACUUGACUCUAUCUCCCAGCUACUGCUUCUAGGGCUUUGCUUACAGGCAUACCCUCCCAAGUUACUGAGUUUGGGACCGCUAACUCAUAUUAUUACUAUAAUGUUGAUCAGCCACCAAGCUACUACUCUUAAUUAGAAUAAAAUACAGAAGUGUCAAGGACUAAACUCUAAACAAGGAAAGUCAGAGUCAAUGCCUCCACCGAGGUAGCAAACAGACACUCACUGAUCUAACUCUUAAGCUAUUAAUAGAAAAUCUGACUUUGCUGUCUCUUAGCUUCUAUGCCUCUACUCCUGAGUCGCAUACUGACUAUACAACCCAGCAGUCUUACAGUAUCUUACACUGCCUGGCCUGACACCACUUACUUCAAUUCUUUAACUAAUGAUCUGGCUCCUUCCCUUUACUAUUCAACACCUAACUUCUGACUUUCAUUCCUAUUCUAUUGUUUCAAACUUCCCUUACGGAUCCAGUCCAGAUCCUUGCUUUCAUUCCCUCCCGCUUACUUUCACACUGCAUCCCUUUGGCCCACCUCAACAUAACUUGCACCCCCGAUUGCUGCUGUCAACUAGAAUACCAUUCCUCUGGCCCGUUGCUUUCCCUUACUUAUAUGAAAGCUGUCUGCUUGGUUGCUCCUUACUUAAAGAAUUGAGUUUACUUACUGCUACUCUGCAGGGGAAACUUUCACAGGUGAUUCUCCUGAUCUAGCUUCUUCACUUGUCGACUUCCCACUGCUGGACUAUACUUCUUUACCCGACCUCUCUACUUCCAUAAAAGACCUCUAUUAAUUGAGUUCCCGAACACUGGAAUAGUAGGCCACUAAUUAAGUAAUAUAAAAGCGUGUUACCCGCCUAGGCACUAUAGAAUAAGGUCACCAACCCAGUGCUCUUUACAAACAAAGUAGGGGGAAGUUGUCCCAUAAGAAGGGUAGGUCAACAUCUUGUCCUGCUUGCUUUAGCUCCUUGUACAGAAUAUGAGUAGAAAACUUCUUCAGCUAGGUUAACUUACGUUCCAUAAGCGGAAGCGAGGUGUGGUACAAAGAAUGGAGUUCCGCUCGCGCUAGGCAAAAGCAGUGUUACCGGAUUCUAUACCUAGUGCUGAGGAGAACCUAUGUUACUCGAAAGAAGCCUAUUCUUCAGCCAACACCUAAGCAGCAUUCAAUUCGAGCUAGAUUCUCUUCGGCUUCAGAUCGUUCUUUUGCAUCGAUUAACCUGUAUGCCUAUAACGGAGCCCAUGUGGCGGUAAAGAAAACCUUAUCUUAUCUAUACUUUAUACUUGAAGUAAAGAAACCCUUGUAGCUCGAACUCCCUUGUAAGUUCCCUUGCUUUAGCACUUGAAGAACGAAUGUCGGCUAACUCCCUAACGCUUGUUGGGCUCACAGGUCUAUACUUCUAAGAUUGAACAACGCGGUUGAAGAAAAGAAGUCUUCUAAAGCAGAGGGGUUAAGUAGAAAGAAUAAGUAUAAAGCAAGUUCUAGUAGAUCUCAUCUCGCCUAUAAGAAAGCCUUACAAAAUAUUAUUAGUCUAUACCGGAACAAGCAAAUCACUUACCAGAAUUAAGGGAAACAGAAAAAUCAACAAGUGGGAGAGUUCCAGGCCCAAGAAACAAGUCUUUUGUUUUCGACAUUAUGUAUUAGUUGCGAAAGUCAGUCAGCAUAAGAAGUUGGAUUUGCAGCUGGAUCAUAAGCAGAAUCAGUAUCUCCGUAAGCCGAUACGACUAAAUAAGGACUUGCUACGGACGUUCCAUAAAUGUAAUCUAUCGAAUAUGGGGUUAGUAUAUAUAUAAAGAUUAAGUCACUGUGGAGGAGAGUACACUAACUCCUUUUUCACCCGAUAUAGAAGCCGAAUGCCCAGAUUCAGUAUAAGCAAGAUCAGAAAGAAUGGGAGUGAGGAUCGGAAGGCUGACAUGUUGUCCGUGGAUAAAGGCAUAUAGAAAAUCCAGCAAGGUUCGUAGGGGGAGUGAAGCAGGAGACCUCGGGCGUGUGAGACCUUAACGCGCAACAGGGAAAUCCACUACUAACUAAUAGCCUGGCAUUACUACCAAUAAGACUAUAGUUCGAAACUGGUACUUCCCCGACCGACCUCUAGCCCUCAUCUCUUGUCUAUACGCCUUACUGCAAGGGCACAACUAAUACCUGCUCCUAAGAGUAUUGCUCUCGACCUGUAAUUGCCGCUAGCUGCAGCUCCUGGCUCCAAAGCAGUUCCGUAUCUAAGCCUCCUGCGACUGACUUUCAUCCUAUAUCCACCGCGACCUAUACUUUUAACUAGAAACAAGGGGCCCAACAACGAUAACAAGAAGAGGCCCUAUAGGAAUAAAGAAUCCUACUAGCGCUUUUCACUCUUUCACUACAGAUCCGGGUCCUGACUUACUUGCUAAAGAGAGCUCAACUUACUACUAUAAGAAAUUCAUUACAGCUUCUCGGACUGCCAUGCCAAGUAACUGAUAGACAAGCAGACAAGAGUGACUUCUAACUCGAGCAGGACUACUACUACUGUACUGGUCAACUAAAGAAAAGAAAUAAGAAAUCCAAGAAAUAAGGACUAGGUAAGGUUGCUAAGGUGAAGAAGCCUAGUAGCAGCAGUAAAGGCCUUAUUGCUAAGGUAUAAUAUACUUACUUGCCUAGGAGCUAAAUGGAAUCCCUAUCUUUUGAACCUGAUCCAGCAUCUGCUCUGGUGCACUUUCCUCUUACGGGUGAUGAAACAACUAAUGAAGGUGCUGAAAGCCACUCGAAACCGAGGAAUAAAGAAUUGCGGAAUUCCCAACCGGGUAGUCCAGGUUAUAAAGUAAGGUCGGUGUUGGCGAUUGAUUAGUUCAACAAAGGGUACCUCUAUUCCAUGCGUGGUUGAUACCUUUGACUUGUAGUUGGGGCAGGGCAGAUUGCCUAGUUGCUGAGGCCUUGUAGCUCAGGAGUUCAAUUAUUAGUAAGGGGGAUAGGUAGCUUAACCAGCACAGGAGCAAGCCAGCGGACAAGCAACGUAUAAAUCAUGAAGCACUUAACGUGAGCGGGCAGGUGACUUUACUCGAUUCUUUUAUUCCCUUCACUUUGGUAGAGCAGAGCCAGAGCCUAUACUUUCAAGGAAGCACUAACGGGAGUAGUUGACUCAAUAAGUUCACCUUAGCUACUACGGAAGGGAAGGUAGAAAACUCAAGAAUCAAACCGGUCCUAUAGUAUCUCUAGUUUCGGAUCAGGAGUAGCAAGAGGAGUCACUUUAGUGUUUGCCUAUAAGAAGAGAAAUUCACCUUGCUAUUUAGUUUCGGGGGGAAGUUCGCCAAAGCCACUGUUAGGUUUUCUUACUAGGUUAUACUACUGCCCCAAUAGAUGAAUUCCUACUACUCGGCUCGGGAUGAAACAAGAACUGGUCGGAAUCCUAGUUUCAAAUGCACUAUCACAGAACUUAUAGUGACAGGGGCAGAGGCACGGGAAGAAAGCAAAUAAGCAGUUUCAAGAUCUAAAGGAGGAUUAGAGGCAAGAUCAGAAGCACUAGAAAGUCAGUCAAUUCAGUCUUCCUCACCCCGGCCCACAAGCACUCGACCAAGUACUGAAUUAAGCGUAUGUGCUCUCUGUGCAAAUACUAGGUUAAUACUAGGUUCUGGGUUCAGGUAAGAAUCAAUGCCUUCUUCAGCAGCCUUAAUAAGUAAAAGGGGUUGUUAGAAAGGAAGAAUGGAAAUAGGCGCCAUCCCGAGUUGAUAACUUAUUAUUUAGGGCUUUUCACCCCUGAGUUUCAUCGUAUCUAGAGCUAGAGGCAGACUGCCCUUGACUAUUAAUUGGUAGAUGAGAGGUACCUGCUAUGGUUCUUGUUCUUGUUGUUGGCAAGAUAAUAGAGGUAGUCGGGCUGUUCUAUAUCACUAUUCUAAAGAUAAGAUAUAAUUUCUAUGGACCAAGCAGCCCUAAUAAGUAAGGGCAAGACACCACUAGACAAGCUACUACUACAAACGCAAGACUCGGAAUUAAUGCAUUAUAACUCAUUAUUAUGAAGUCCUGUAUUCAAGGCGUCAGCGAGUUCUAGUGGCGCGGUAGCAACAUUACUGCUAGCGCAUCCAGUAGAAGAAUGAGAAUGGAAUUAACCAAUCGCAUCAAAGCCAGUCCAGUACUUGACCUCGCAGCAAAGCAAGAAUACCAUUGGCACCACCGAAAAUAGAUUCUAGUAUAGCAAGUAAACCACCCUAUGCCUAUCCAUACGCGCCUCCCCUCGUAUUGGAAUGAAGAGUUGCGUUGUUGACCCUGGCUUUCCCUUAGAGUGCUUUUCUUUCCCUUGUAGUGGUCUAAGUCGUAACCGCUGUAGCUCGCAGGUGAGAUGAAGUCAAAGUUUUCAAGUUUAGUAUCUACUAGAAUAUGGUAAAGAAUAAUCAUCAAAUACUGGUUAUAAAGCGGGAAGUAAAGGUUAGGGGGCCAAGUUGUAGAUAAGGCUCUUAGCACCUUUUUGCGUCCGCGGGUAAACUCAUCUUUAUGGGUGGGUGUCGUAGAGAGAGGUUCACGUGAUUGACUUGAAUCAUUUAUUGAAUCAUAGGAUUCAUCUGCGCUAACUGCACUAACUGCACUAACAUUUGUUGUUGACGGUAAGGGAAGUGCCCACUACAAGGUUGAAGAAUCAAGGAAGCGGGAAAGAAAGGUAGUUAACUAAAGUAAGCAAGCGGUAAAGACAUCAGUGUCAAAGCAGUUACAAGAAUAAGUGGUGUUGUCUCAAAGAAGAGUCGCUAAGUUGCUGUCUAGUGGAUCUCCGCCUAAUAGAACCUUUUCUAUGACUAAAGGAAAAACCUACAUAACUGACCAUAGUAUACUUAUUGGAUUGAUAUCCCCUCCAUUGUAUACUUAUGGGAUUGAUAUCCCCCUAGGAAAGGUACUAGAGAAAACUAUGACUAGCCCUAAGGAAAGGUUACUAGAGAAAACUAUGACUAGUCAAAAAAAUGUUAACUAUUCACUUUUCUUUCUUCAAGCACUGGAGCUUUCGUUAGAACUUGAACUGGGCAUCCGCCAUGGAAUAGCCCUAUCUAAAUUCCUUUGAAAAUACGCUAUCUGGACAAUUCCUCUUGACUUUAGUUGAAGUUCAAUCAGAAACUUAUUAAGGGACAUGUAAUCAGUUGAGUUCAAUCAGAAACUUAUUAAGGGACAUGUAAUCCCAUAGGAAAACCAUUCAUAAUUCAUUAUCGGGUGGGUACAGCUUUUUCAAUCCAAAAACACUCCAACUCUAACCAUUAGUUUCACGAUGUUACUCGCCAAGCUACAUUGUAAGUAGCGACCAAGCUUAGGGACAAACAACUACUAAUGACCAAGCCAGAGAAGGAGAAGAGUGCAUUCUGUAUUUGAAGCCUGAGUUAUAUGAGCCAGAGGUAGAUUAGAGUCCGGGUUUUGUGCCUUAAGUUGGUAAUGUCACUUCUUGUCCCGCUUCCUCACCUGCUCUUUUCACUGAAACUAUACUUUAUGAAAAGGAAUUCAUUGAAUCUACCUAACACAAUAUGGAAGGGGUAAGCAUCUCAGCUGACAUCUUAUUGAAUAUAUGGAAUCGCUACUUUCCUGUUCGUCAAGCAUUAACCUAGCAGUAGGGCCUGUUUGAAGUGAAUGAAGUCAACCUUUCAUAGUGAAGAAGUCAACCAUGACUUGAUUUCUGAAUGAACGUUAGUUAGCACCCCGCUCUGUGGGUCAAUAAGCAUUAGCGCCCCUUAAAAACCAGAAAGAAAGAAUUCCAUUUAGCUAGCUUCAUAUAGAACUGAGUUCAGAAAACACCUAUUACUUACUGCUGGCUCUGCUCAUCCCUUGAAUAGAGUAAUAACACCUAUACAAUACUGCUGGCUCUAAAUCAUUGAAUUGAACUGACUUCAUAUAGAAUCUAGUAUACUCACUGCUUUGCUUGCGGACUCCUGACUCACUGUUGACUUAGACGGCUUCCCUUUGACAAUGUAUGAUCUAUGAACUUCCAGAAAUGAAUCGCAACCCUGAUGAGCUUUCUUUCAUAUUUGUUGCAUAUCUUAACCCCGCUGCUCCCGUAAGCGCGCAAUAAACAGGACUUGCUCUUGCCUUCAACUCUCAAUCAGGGUCGAGCAAACAAACCUUGUGAGUUCUGUUGCCGCAAAGGGGAAGUCUAGUGAACCUUAAGAAUGCUUUGGAAGCCGGUAUAGUGAACCUUAAGAAUGCUUUGGAAGCCGGUAAGAUUAAUAAGAAAGGGAAGAGCUGUGUAUUUACUCCGUUCUAUCCAAGGACCGUGUACUCCAUAAUGAUAAUCCAUUCAUGGUUGACUCCGCGCUCUCCACAGAAUCCAUUAUUUCUGAAGCUACUGUUAUCGGUGCUAACUCUCCCCGGGGUGCCCAUCCAUAAAUGGUUGACUUUCCAGGGUGUCCCUAUUUAGCUUACUUUCGGGGAACAAGUCACACUUACUUUACUUGUGCUAACAUGUGUUCUUUGAAUGGAAGAAAUCCCUCUCGCAUAUUAUUGAAUAAGAGAAUUGAGGCUCAAGCAUAAGCCGGAGAAGAAUCAUAAUAAGGAAAGUGUUAUACAGAAAAGGAAGCAGUGCUUGUAAAGUAAACGAGAGAAGAAGUAGUGUCAUCCGUAUAAGGAGCAGGUGAGGAAGUUAGAGUUAAUGAUGGUGCUCCUACUCGGGCAGUUCCACUGUUCUUGUUCUAGGAUCAGAAGUAGGAGAAGUCAAGUCGACAAAAGAUGGAGCUGGAUCUGAAGCAGUGCUAGGAAAGUCGAAGUCAAGUUCUGAGAAAGAAGGAAGUACUGGUGUGGUGGGCGCUAAGCAAGACUCUUACUCGUUAUUGUGAAACAGGUGCUUUCGGGUUGGAUUGGAGUAUAGAGUAGUGCUAGAGCAGCUCUUUUAGUAAGUUGUAACGCAAAGCAAGGAAUAGACUAAUAGAAAUACGUGAUAUAAUGAGUUCUGACAAGUCAAGUCUUUGCCUGCUCUUUAAGUAAGUUGUAAGAAGAAAGUACACUUAGUUACUUCCAAAACAGCUAAACUCAAAAUCCAAACCAAUGAAGAAAGGACUAGUAGUUGCUUGCACUUAGUCACAUUCGCCUGCUUGUCUGGCCAACUCGGUAGGUGCGAGGAUCCAAGCAAGUAUUAGGGCUACCUUACACUUGGGGCUACAGGUAUACCAAGGGACAACCAUCUUUGUGAGUAUCGGUAUUUUCACUAUGAUUUGAGUUCGGGGGUGAUAGAACUCUCUUAAAUACCCGAGCGAUAGGACUCCGGCGGUAUAUGACAUGACGAAUGUCAGGAUUCAUUCGAUUGGGGGCUGGCUUCUCGUAAGCUUCAUUAGCGAUAUCGACGGAUCACCUGCGAGCACCGAUGAAGCUAGAAAAGAGAAAGAGUGAAACGGGUGCAACGACACCAGAUAAGAAAGAAUCUUACCCAUAGAAUAAAAGAAAGGCGCUAAAGUAUAAAGCGGAGUGAAAGGGCACCACAAAUGCAAGGGAAAGACCCGGACAUGGAGCGGGAGAAGGAUAAGAAGUCACAUCAAACCAGAAUUCUCCUAUUUGAUUCAGGCAGUCGUCCAAAGUGGCCUUAGGGACAGGACAUCAUGGAUCGAAUCCCACCCGGUUCGGUUCCAAAACAAGAUAACGGAUCAGCUCUGUGAUCGACAUCCCACUCUUCAUUCAUGAAUAAAGGAUAAAGCGUCGCUUUCAUUACAUAUCAAACCUUGAGAAGACCGACCCGAUCCUCCAGCCAGAAUCGAAUGGUAGUCUAAUUCAGAUAGGUCAGGUUCAUAAACCCUUGUUUUUAUGGUAGAAAGAUGCCAAAAUCAGAAUCAAGAAAAAAGGAUGAUCUGCAGUUUCAUACGACACCGGGGAACUCCAGGAAGGGGAUUAAGGCCAAAAGGGUAUUUCUUUUCAUUCCAUUCAAAAUGCUUAGGUUCUUCCCAUAGGUCUUCGUCACACAGAUCUUGGAUUUGAUAGAGUUUGUUCCUUAGCCUGCUUAGAGAGGAUCGAUUCUCUUACUUGAUACGUUAAAGUAUAGCUGCUACUAUGUUGGGUUUUUCUCUCUUGUUCAGAUGUUAACUCAUGAACUUCCUAGCUUCAUUACCUCCGCCCAAAGAAAGGCUUUCGCAGCUGGGCAUUUUCACUAUUCAAUGAAUAAUAGUAGCUGAUUGUUUAGCCAAUGAUGGAUUUCGCGCUAAGGAAUGGAUCAAAUCACUUCUGACGUUUCCAAUACCGACCUCCCGCUGUUAGUACUUUGACCCCCCUUUUCUUGUUCGAAGUCAAUGAAUUCCUUUCUAUUACUAGAUUAUUGUCGGAAAUGCUUGAAGCGUGUAUGGAUAUUUCCGUUAUUUAGGAGGUAGGUUUUCGGUUUCGCCUUUCCCUUUGGGCUUUCUCUUCUUAUGUAGUUUAAGAUACAACUUGGACUUUUGGAAUGGUAGAAUUCUGUAGAAAAGCUAGUACCUCGUUAGCAUUGCAACAACACGAAUAGAGAGCGAGAUACUGAAAGAAUACUGGAAGACUCUGGUUAGUAGCGCUCUCUCCAAGUGUUUUAAGCGUUUGCCUUGUCUCUUACUUGCAUCUAAAAGCACGAAGUUUUACCCUAAUCUUAUUAUAGGGGGCGUGGGUGGGGAACAAUACUUUUUCUUUUUCUUAUUCUCCCGCUUCUGGUUGAACUCUCACUCCCAAUACAGAGACCCUAGUAUACCUAUUCGUUUUUAAGCCGUGUUCUUAGUUUCCAUGGUCACAGAACUUAUUGAGGUAGCGAAAUGCUCUGAUAAUGCUUUGACGCCUAGAAUCUUGACUUUCUCCCUUCCUGGUAGCGCCUAUCAUUUAGGAAUGUACCUAGAAACUCCAAGUUCAGAAUGGAAUUGCUUCCCGUUAGCACCUAUCAUUUAGGAAUGUACCUAGAAACUAGAAGAGAAGUUCAGCCCAAUAACUCCUGCCGCGGCAGGGCCGCUAGUUCCCGAAAGACUACUUUGAUUUAUCCUUGCUCGGCCCAUACUAUUUCCCUACUAAAUGAAGUAUUUAUCUUAUAUUAGGAUAAUGUUUAGAAAGACCGAGCAACUACUGUUCUUGUUAGAUUGGAAUUCCGUAUUAGUAGUGGUAUGGUCCAGUGGGGUUGGUGCUCUAGCUCUAAGUCAUAGGGGUAGGUUUUUGGUAUACAAGUCCUGUCUUCGUAGAUGUUUUCACGGGUCAGGUCGGUCAGGUUUCUCAUUCUAUUGGGAACACAUAUGCUAGGACUUCCUUUAGCUUUGAUUCUGUUUUCUUGUAUCGGUUUAUUUCAGGCAUCUCUAUUAGAAGCUAGUCUUUCCAUUAGGGCUGCAUUCCCAUAUUCAAGGCAAGGGGAAAGCUACAUAAGAAAAGCAUGCUUCGGAGAGUUUUGAUUCAAGGCAGAAAUGUCAAAAAAGUCAAAGAACCCUCCCUUCCCGCAAGAAAAAUCCAUAAGGCUAGGCUAUACCGCACGGGAUUUGCAUUCCCAUAUAUCUCGACUCUCGCCUUCAACGGACAGCAGAGAGGGGCUUUUUGAUUGAGGUAAAGAUUAAACACUAUUACUCUAGAUUAGAAUUGCUUGCGGUAAGGUAAGCUAAGCAUAGGAUUUACCCGGGAAUGCAACUGAAAACUACCAGAAUUGACUACUACACCCGAGGACCCAAACGCAUAAGUAAGCCUGCCACCAUGCCCUUGAGCCCGCCCUUCCUAUCCAAUUAAUAUUCUUAUACUAACUGAAACUAUCACUACCUUUACUUGGAUUUUGAAACAGCUAAUGAAAAGACUGCUAUGCCUAUUGGUCUAUCCUAGAUUACUUAUAUUAUUUCAUUCAAUAAAGAUCUCUAACCUUGCUUUACAAGCUAUUGGUCUUACUAUCCUGGCUUUUGUCCUGUAACUAGUGACUUGGAUUUGCAUACCCUUGUUUGAAUUCUUCGACGACUAACUAUUAUAAUGUAACUAGGGCAUACGAGCCCGGCACUACUUGUUUUAGGCUAUUGUUAUUAAGAAGGAGGCUAUGGGGUUGUGUUGGAGAGCACGCCGGUUUGGGUAGUGACUACUUGAAUACUACGUUACUUAGCUUUGGGGAAACAAUUCUUCUAUCACUUAUGAGAACCAAUGAUUCUAUUACUUGGCUUUGGAACCAAUGAUUCUAUUACUUGGCUUUGGAACCCAUUCUGAUAUUGAUAUUACUAAAGACACCCACGAAGCGGUAACACGACAUCUGAAAUUAGGAACAUAUGACACACACCUACCCACGGGAGAAACAAACACAUCUAGUAGAGUGGGCCGGUAACUCAUUAUUUAAGUGGAGCCGAUCAUUCACCCAUGCUACGAAGGUCCCGGGGCAUAUAAAGUACCUCGGUAAUUCAUUGAAGGGCCGGGCAACGAGGUUAGGUCAACUGGUCUAGGGGUCGAGCAACAAUAAAUGUAUGCAGGAAAACACACUCUUCGAGUAGGGUCACUCGGUCUUUGGGGAGCACAACUCCGUCUAAGAGGAAACAAUUGACCGAACACCGGUACAAGAGAUCCAUCGUCAAUGAAAUAGUACUUGCGGGGUUGAUACCACUUGUGGCUAAGCAAAUCGAAGAAAAUACGAAUCAAUCUUAUAUAAGUCAACUUAAUAGUAAUCUUAUAUAAGUCCCACUUAAUAGUGAAUUUCAGAAAGAAAAGAUAGAAUUCCAAUUCUAAGAAGAAGAAUUAUGUUUACCUAACACCGGCACCACCUGCUCUCCAAUGAAAUGAAAAAGUGUUCCCGUUGCUACAAAAAGAGAAUAGAAGUCCCCCUUUUUCGAUCACAUUUACCUAAGAAAAUAGAUUCAAAUAGAAUAUGAGAAAACAUAAGUAACCAGCCAGAAGUAACCAGAAUCAGAAAUAGAAGACAAAAUGAGACCCAUUAAAGAGAGAAUGAAAGCAUGGAUAGUUAGAAUGAGAUCGAGAAAAGGAAGCCAAAGGGACGGGGGGCUUAUUUGAAAUACAGAUAUGAGAUCAGUAGUAAUACAGAUAUGAGAUCAGUAGUGCCGGUCAGGAGUUUCGGAGUUAGAUAAGGGAUCGACAGAGUGCAAGAAGGGAAUGGGAAUGUAGCUAACGAGCAUAGGCCUGUGAACCGGGUAAACACCACUUAGGAUCCGUAUUAGUCCGCUUGUCACCGGUUCGAUUCUUUUAGUUAGUAGUUACAGGACAAAAGCCAGGAUAGUUAGAAUCAAAGUGAGCAGUGGUAGUGUUGGAGUUGGGAGUUACAGGCCAAUAGGUGAAAUACAUAUUUUUAUGCCGGGGUGAAAGCCUGGGGUCCAAGUUCAAUCUGAUAGUCAAAAGAGGUGCACUAAAGUCCUAGAAGCAGUAAAGUAAUAUCGAUAGGGUCAAAUCUGAAUCAAAGGCUAGGGUUGCAGAACGAGAGACAGGAAAGGUAGUCUUUUCGGGAGUAGUUGGUUUCCGAGUUGCUUGUUUCAAUCUUGUUACCCAGGCAGUAAUUCCUUAUUCUAAGAUCAAGUAUGAGAAGCGCUGACUCAAGUCAGAAUCAAAGACAACCUUGGUAUCGGUAGCUAAAGCCUUUUCAUUUUCUUAUUUUAUGAUGUUUAAGUCUCCCAUGAUAACCCAUAUAGAGAGUUAGUGCUUGAUGAUACCAUCGCCAAAGCUCGAUUCUUUCCAGCACAGAAUGAGAAUAGAAAUCCAAUAGAGAGCCCGGGCAUACUGCUAUAUGAGAAUGAGCUGUCUUUGUAUUGGAGUAUAAAAUGUAUAAGAUUGGAGCACUUUCUUGCUCUUUUCUCCUUUUUUUCGACAUGAGUUGGGCUAACGGGACAAGGAGUUUUUUCAGGUUCAAGUCAAAAGGGUCUUAAUCCAAUGGAGAAGAUAAGAUUCCCGGCUAAAGUGCUAGUUCCUGUAUUUGCUGAUGACGAAGAAGGCGAGGUAAGGAAAGCAAACUAAAGAGAAGCGUGCAGGAUCAAUCAAACUGUGAAAAACCUUAUGCUCACAAAGAAAAGGUCAUGGGUUUUGUCGAGACAAUAAAAGUGUGUGGGAAAGAUCAUAUCCAUCUAGGGGCUUCAGCCUCCUUUCCUGAGCGCUAUGCUCAUUAUUAGUAUCUUGAUUAGUUUCAAUACACCUUCUCUGGAAGUGUAUUAGUUUCUUUUUGAUACCUUCUCUUGAGGAGCCUUCUCUUCCUUCGGCAAACAAGCUAAGGCUUUCGGGAACAGAACUCACUGCUUUCUCAUCAAAUAGAUUGUAUACUGUAUCCUAGAAUAGAAGCUAUGUCCACCUCAUCAAAUAGAUUGUAUACUGUAUCCUAGAAUAGAAGCUAUGUCCACCACCCCAUACGACUAAUACUAAAUAGAGAGGGCCUCGUGGUUCUCGACCAGUUACAUCUGCUUCGCCUGCUCGUCAAGAUAUUACAUUAAUCUAUUCGCUGUUAUUUGAGCAAGGAGUUGGGGCACACAAUAAGUUCCAUUGUACUGCAAAUGGAAGAAAUCAUUCUCACAAAUAACGGGAAGAAAUCAUUCUCACAAAGAUCAUCCACAACUAAAGGUACUGCGACGCCUGCUUGAACUUCUGCCCCUCCUGUUGUCUCCGUUGCUAUGGGGUUGUCCUCCGCACCAUCUCUAUCUGUCCAACUAAGGUGUCACUGGACUUAAUAAAGCUACUUAUACCUAACCUUGUCCAAGCUUGAUCUUCGACCGACCUCUAUCGCACUUAUUGUUAUUUUAUGGAGUUGCCUCGAAUAAUAUGACUGGUAAUGGCUGGCUCUUUGUUACAUGGCACAGCUGCUCCUCGCCCUCUAUCUUCAUGAUGGAUCCAUCUUAAUUGGAUCUUAUAGUCUUGGUUCUAUUCGUUCGUCUCCAAAAUCCGCCCUUCUCUUUCUUAUGGUCUGGAAUUGGAACUAAUCAAAUAUGUCCGUUGGCAAAGUAGUGAAUCCAAAAUAAUAGGUAAUGUCACAUAUCAUAAUACAUCUAUUAAUCUUAUUUAUUUGUGCAGGACCUACGAACCGGGACAACCGGGAAGCUGAUUGGUAGAGACCAUAUAGUCGGCCACCUGUUUUAGGCUCAGUACUCCCUAACGAACUUAGAAUAUGGUAACUCCACUCAAGACUCUUCACUAGACGUAGACGAGAGAAGGAGCCAAAGAAGAAACGGAAUCCUUUCUAAGAAUUGAAGAUAAGAGUAUGAAGUCAAAGGAACUACAGCAACCAGAUAAGAGUAUGAAAUACAAGGAGCUACAGCAGGACAGGACGGAAAGAAUAGGAACAAGGAAGGGCUUGCUUCACUUGAGUUCCGAGUUAAGAGUUAGAACAAGCAAGUGGUAGAUCAGCAACAGUAAGGGUAGAAAGAAAGUACAGAUUAUAGGCUACAAAUGAACUAGAGCAGCCAACAAGCCGAGAAGAAGCUAAAGAAGGAGCAAGAUCAACAAACGGUUUAGAAGGAGCAAGAUCAACAACCAACCGGUUUGAAAGAUUGCAGUACAGUCGACGGUGUUGGCGCAGCUGCAAACGAGACAGGAGGACCGCGCGAAGAAUCAAUUCCUUCUGAUGCUAAUACGGUUCGAGCUUGAGUAGAGUAUCUUUCAUCCCAACAAGCAGACAGAGCAAAAGAGAUAGAGAAAAUGAAUGAUUUGUGACAAGAAGAGAAGAGAUGGCCCCUUAUAUACAAGUGAACAGGACUCGGUAUAUUAAUUAGUAGCGGUAACUAAUAACUGGCUUCUGAAGCACUAACUGAGCUGAGUUGAGUAAAAAGAGCAUAAGUUGCAGUCUUGUUCGAGGUUUUGAAGCGAAGCGUUAACGGGAGUGAGCUUACCUUAGUUGUCGUAUAUAGAAUAGAAUGAGUGGACCUACUUACUAUAGAAUGAGCGGACCUACUUACUGCAAAGCAAUGUUACAUUUUCUGAGUGACCCCGAGACUAGAAAGAAGCCUUAAGAAGCGGUUUGCCCAGCCCUAUCAAUUGGUUUUUCUCUUCAUGUGCCCUCUUCAACCCUUUCAUAAUGCAAUUGCAAGCAGUACUCUAAGCUUAUACUAUUCGAUUCCAUAAAAGAGCCUACUCUAAGCAGCAUCAGCUAAGAUCAAAUCGUCUGUUGUGCCCGGUCUGUUGCGGGCUAUCAUUCGUAUCUUCAUUGGUAGUUAAGUUACUUGCAUAAACAGGAAAGUCAGAAGUCCCCUAUUCUGGAACACCCUACUUUAUUCAUUUACGAUUACCCUUAUUUUUGUCCUUACCUGCAAACUUCUCAUUUGAGAGAGCGUAAAUAAAGUCCUCUGCCUGCUGUAAGGCCCAAGCAAGGAAAGAAGGGCGGGAGACUCAAAAAGAUGGGUUAGCGAGGCGGGACGAAAGGUUUGAAUUGAUUGAGAAGGACUUGGCCCUAUCGUCAAUCGCCGGUCAAUAUUCUUUCUUUCUACUAUACUAGUUAUCCAAUAAGAGGAAUCGGGGACGGCACUUAGUUUUGACAUUCUUUCUUCGUUGGUACCCCAGAACAAUAGUCAGUAGUCAGGUAUAGCCAGUAGUUGGCCUUAAGCCUAGCAGUGUUACGGAAUCGUGUUCAGGCUCUUAGCACCUUUCUGUAAAUAUCAAGUCUGAAUGUACUUAUCUCUAAGAGAAUGGCUUGCCCCCACAUGUUUUAGAUCUAGAAUCGAAGAGUCAACCCUCGGAUGCCGGUCUUUCACUCCGUGAAGGCUUUACAGAGAACUAGGCUUUUAGCUUCAUUGGAUAAAGGCAGAGAUCACACUGGUUUGUAAUUGCUUUCUUUGGCUGUCACUUCAUUCAUCCGUGAUACCGAAGGCCUUUUCAAAAGCAUCUUUUGAUCCUGUUUUCUCUGCUUUAGGGUAAUCAAACUGUCCCAGAGCAGAAUAAAUGGCAACUAUACUAGUGAGUCAUUUCGUACUUAUGUCGUUGGGGAGCGGAAAUGGCACAGCAAGAAGAAAGAACAACCGAAAGUCUUCGACUUACCUCUAGCAUUUUCUUCUGUAGCUAAUACAACUGAUGUUGCUUCAUCUCCUUUCCCAUCCGCCCGGGGAACCGAGUCCUCUUUAGUUAUUAAUGAAUUGGCUGCUUCAGAGGAUACCACUUAUGUAACUGACUCAGUAGAUGGACGAGACCAACCUCUUUCACCGAGCCGAAAAGUCUGCGUUGCCAGCUGCUUGUUGAAUUCUAUUACAAGGCUCGCACCGCCCUAACCCGAACUCUCUAGGGAACUCUCCUUUCAGAACCGCUCACUCCAAAGCGAACUGCUUACUCUCCACUUUAAUAAUUCGCUAAUGUAGCUCACCUUCUUUUUUGAAUGGAAUCUCUCUCUUUCGCCUGUUCCAACAUUUUCUACCGCAUACCUUCCCUUUUGCUGACCUCUACUUUCCGUUGAAGUUCCUUUCCUUCUACUGAUCUUGAUUCUGAUCUAUCUUUAUGGUCUUGCUUCCCCACCUUCUCUUACAUCUUCUGGGCUUCCAUCGUAGACUUCACUGUCAACCUUUCUUUGGACCACUACUGGGGGCUCAGUAUACCCAACAAGAGCUCAGUAAGCGAGAUCACCUUUUGCCGAACAAUCUCUUUCUUUCAACUGAGUCUGAUCCUAGAACGAGAACACUCAAUGAGUUCUUAAAGCUAUGCAAUGGUUGGUUCCUUUUGAUUCUAUAUAUGUGUGUGAGUGAGAUUCAACAAGCAACUCAUACUUAAUUAACGCCUUAGGAAUGAUUUCUUUUCUUUUGCGUUUCGCACCCAGGCGCUAAGACUUAUUCGUUAGUGGUGAUUUGUAUCGUUAGUAGUGAUUUUGAGUUUCGCAGUGUUUUGUUACUUUUAUUAUAUCACAUAUGCCAUAUAUGCUAAAUAAAGAGGCAUGUAUGCUUUCCUUUUUCCCCUAAUGCCAUAUAGGCUCAAAAGACAGAGGUUGGCCCACCAAGUAGUUUCGUUUUAGAAGCAAAGCAGUGUUUUUGACUCUUUCUUCCAUAAGGACCAGAACCAGAAGAUCCAUUCUACCUAGCAUAAGAUCCAUUCUAUCUAGCGCCAUCAGCCAAUCUGUCAAGCGCCAUUAGCCAAUCUGUCAGCCGAACCUCCUCUCGCCCUUACUUAUUAAUAUUAAGGCUUUCUUAUGAGACCCCUAUUGCUACUGUACCUCUGGCUCAUCUAACUACAUUUCUUUGAUACCGGAAUGAGGCUCCUCUACCUCCUUAUUCUUCCCUUAGCUUAGCUCCGGUAGGCAUGAGAACUGAAUAAGUCCUGUAUUAAGGGUUGGUUAGUGACUUUUUCUUUCUAUUACACGCCUCCCCUUCCCUUAAUGUUACUUCAAUGAGUGAACCACUCCCCUCGACCUAGACCACUCCUGUUUCUAUUAGUCUCGACCUAGACCACUCCUGUUUCUAUUAGUAAAGUAACCUAACUCUGAUACUAAGAUACAAACUGAACUCUUGAACUCCCUAGUAAUUCACUCCUCUUUCUUGCCAGUUACCAGAGGUGGAUGAUAAAGCUGCUUGUUCAAUAAGGUAUAAAAGAAGAAAUCUACUAUCUGAUUUCCCCAACUCGUAAACUAGGUAUUCCACGGGAGCAGGUAUAGUUAGAUUAAGGGGGAGGAGUUACAGAGUUACCGACAAAAGUGAAGUUAAAGAAACCUAUCGAAAUUCCAUCUUAUAUAAUAAAGAUCCAAGAUUUCACUCAUAAGAUAGAUAGAAAGUUGGAAUGUAGGGAAUUGUCCUUCCCGAGCCAAGAAAUGUAGGGAAUUGUCCUUCCCGAGCCAAGAGUAGUUAACCAGUCUCUUUGAAACCAACCCGUAGUACUGUUAUAAUACCUAUUGCUCUACUUUCUUUCUUUCUUGAUAGGCCUAGUUGCUAAGGAGCUUUCUGAACCUGAACCAAUUGUUGUUGCUCUGAACCAGAACCACUUGUUGCUGACUGACCUCUAUCUCUUGCCAAUCAAUACUAACCUCACUCCGGAGUGUAGCCCCGGGCUUCCCUUAUCUUUAUUAUCCUGCACCACCAGCAUCUUACUUAAACAAACCCUUCAACUACUCCUGUGAAGAAUAGCUUCCCGCUUCAAAGCCUGUACUUUAGAACCUAUAUCUCCACCACUACAUUAAGGGGCAAGCAAGAACAAAGAGCAAUGGAAUCCCUAGUUUCAUCCGGUAUCGGUCAUCCUAUAUAUAGAGAAAUACUGAAUUUAGUAGUUUCAUAGUAGGGACCAAGCAACUAGGCAUGUAACUUAUAAUGUGCAGCGUCAGUGAACUCGUUACGCGUUAGUGUGAGAGGCGUGGAAGGGAGCUCCAAAGUAGUUGAGGUAGUUGUGGCCUGGCCCAGUUAGAAGAAGUAGAGUGCCCCUCCUAGUAGAAGAAGUAGAGUGCCCCUCCUAGCCCGAGGUAUUAUAUAAGAGAGUAGCCCGCAGUAUUCUUUAUUUCUUGAUUUCUGUAUGUCUUUCUUUAUAGCCAUAGCCUCUACUACCCGAGUAUUGGAAUAAAAUCACAAACACUAAAAUAACUAGAAGAAAGGAGAAACUAGAAGUUAGAAACUACAAGCAAGUGAGAAACUACCAAGUAUGAGUUAUUACAUGUUAUGUAAAGUCCUGUAUUCAUCUCGUAUACUGCCUCAGUAGACACUAAGUAUCAAAAAAGCCAUAUCAAAAUAGAUGUUAUUAUUAAGGAUAAAGUAACUACGAAACUACUAGUUGAAGGGCGAAUACAGAAACACUCAGGAUUCACAGACAGGACUUGGGACAAGUGAUCUUAGCGCUACCCAUAUUGUUAGAAAGCAAGAUAGGUCUCCCCCCUCGUAUUUGCUUGUCUCAGUAAGUUAAGUAAAAGCUCCAGCACCCAUACCCCGUAAGUCAAGAUAGGCUGUUUAUGACUCUUGAGAGCGGAUUCCCUAGUUUCAUUAGUUAUCCUUUAGAAAUAUCAGAUAUAAUUAGUAGGGGCCCAGCAACAAACUACUAGGUUUCAUCCAUUGUUUCAUCGACAAGUCUUGUUCGUUCGGUCAGGUCAACAUUGUCUCCCGCGCCUCCCUAUAACUACUUAUCUAGCCUAUCAUAGUUACCGCAAGACCUAUUUUUGCUUCUUGAAAUCCUGUGUUCGCCUGUUCGUGGGAGUAUAGAGCUUAACUGUAGUAGUGAGUUCAAAAGGAUACUUAUUUGCGUCUAGGGUGGAAUCUGUCUUUUAUACUUUCUAAAGAGAAUAUAUCAUAGAUAAGAAAUAGUAUAAUAGAAGGAAUGCCCUAAUACAUAAUUGCUAGUGAGCUGGCGGUUAGACGCACCCCCAAGAGAUUAUCAACUUGCUUCCUUCCUUGCCUGUAAGAUAGUCUGCCCCCUUAAGGCUCGUAAACUUGCUUCCUUGCCUGUAAACUUGCUUUCUUUCCUGUAAGAUAGUCUGCCCCCUUAAGGCUCUUCUAAUGCUUUGAUGCCUAGAAUCUGGACUUUGGAACUCCCUUUAUGGGCCGAGUCCACCAGUCAUUUCUCUUAGUAAGCGCCUCUUGUCAAACAUUCCAAUUCAACAACUAUCCCUUUUGCACUAGGAAUGAACUAUCCCUUUAGCACUAGGAAUUGAAGAAAGGAUACUCGAACACUACAAGCAAGAUUCGGGUUUCAAAUGAACUAGAACAGCCAGUAAGUACCAACAUAGGCUUGCCUAGUAGCUUGGCAGACUUGGAGUUGCCGAUCCACCUGUUGCUUCAACUCAAUUCUGAGUGUUUCCCAUAAGGCUAGGGACUCAUACUAGGCUAUUAUUACUUAUCUCGGAGAGCAAGGUGCUGAAAGCCUUAUACUUGUUUGUUUCAUUCUGACUUUAGAGUGGAGUGGAGAGCGCAUGGUUAGUUCCCUGAAUCUUAUUAUACCCGGAGAACUCUUCUGUUUCAGGACUUAGCGCAGAAGCCUGAAAAGCCACAGCAUCCCGAUAACUAUAACCAUCUUGACAAUCUGAUACAGCAAUAGCACAACUACUCCUGUUAGCGCAAAUCAUUCCACAACUUUGACUUUUGCCACUUAUACUGGGCCACUCAUCCUUCUCCCUAACCUUAUCCAGCAGCAGUUUUGGCCUCUUCUGAGCUUAAGCAAGAUCCUUAUACCUGCUUUAUACCCGGAUUCGGCAUCUUAUCUUUCCACUGAACAAGCAACUUCAAGUAAUAACACACGACAGCAUCAUUUCCUGACUUUUCAUCUUAUCUUUCCACUCGUAUAAAGUACUUCGCCCCCUUACUUAAUACUUCACUUCUUCUGUAGCAGCUGAUCAGGAUACGGCUUCUGGAACAAUACUUUAUCAAGCUUAUGAUCUUGGGGCGGGAUACUCCACUCUUAUAGCCUCAGAUCUUUCUUACCUUUGUUUAGCACUUGGUAUAUAAGGAAGUAAAUACACAGCUUCUUUACUAUUUCAUCUCUUAUUUCUUCUUGGAAAACGGACCAAGUAACUACAGGAUGUUGAAUAAGUUCCUCUGCUCCGAGUAAAUGGAUUGUUCCGCUGGAGCUCAAAGUAGUGUAGUUAGAAAGUGAGCUAAAGAAUUGCCUGUUCUAAAGUAAGCAGCAUAAAGUCCCUGGCCAAGUAAUUACAGGAAAUUAUUUGCAUGGAGUCUAUUACACCCCCUAGGAAAAGAAUAAAGCAAGUAAGACGAACACUAGCGGCCCUUUAGCCAUGAAUGAGGGAAGGGCGGUCUACUUCAUACGAGAUAGGUGCUUCUUCUCUACGAGUUCGACAGAAUUGAAUUGAGUGUUCCCUAUGAUAGAAAGAAGUCAAAAAAACAAGAAACUCAGGAACUAAGAUAGGGGAUAGUGUUUCGGCCACUCUAAAAGGGAGGGCUUCUGGGAAUCUCCAACUUGUUCAUGCGAACUAUCAUUUCGUUAGCGAGUUCAUUGUCAUCGGCGUUAUGGAGUUCGACAGAAUCGUCUUUUCACAGCCGGACUUGCAUUAUAUGCUAUAUAUACCAAAGACGUUGCUUGUUGAAGAGAAUUGCCUGUGUAACGGAGCUUUGGAAGAAUAUACUGGUUCCAAAAGCGGUAAGCAGUGCUUGUCAAGUCAACUAUACUAAAGAAUGAGCUGUACUUGAAAGUCCAGAGGUGCUGUGCUUGUCAAGUUAACUAUACUAAAGAAUUAGCUGUGCUUGUAAAGUGUAGUUCUGGUAAAGAAUAAAGUCAUGGUAUUUCUAAGUUGAAAGCAUUUAUUCACAGAAAGGAUAGGUCGGAUGCUAGGAAGGUAGAGUGAGUUCAGAUAGCCUACCGAUCUGAGUCUGUUAAGGGAGUAAGUGUAGCUAAGGCUUCUAGUUGUUGACAGUUAAAAAACACAUAGCGCCAAGCAACAUAGAAGUUCUAAUGAGUUAUUCCUGAGUCCUAUACAAGGCCUACGGGACGGGAAGGGAGUUCCUGUCUUAUAGAACAUAGAACAUCAGUGAAGAAAUGAAGUUAGAACAUCAGUGAAGAAAUUCUGUCUGUCUUUGUUUACUUCGGAUCAACUGUCUUUACAGCGCGGUGUACUGAUCAUACGAGCGAGUGUAGUUCCUUCGACGAGAAAUAAGUGUUCUUCAGACAACACCGAUAAUUGCCCAACUUCAUUUCAUAAUAAUACUCUAAGUCCUUCAUACUCGUUUCUUUCUGCUCUUGUUGAAUCAAGAGUAAGCUGAGUCAGCGCAGUGUUCUUUCUCCUGCUUUACUUCAGAAUGGAAGAUGUUGCACGUAAACAUAGUGUCCCGCUGUAGCUUCAAGUGGUAGAAAUAGGUUCCAGUGUUGGUAUCUAUAAGCUCAUCUAUCUCUUUUCUCUGACCAAAUGACAUGAGAAAAGGCCCGCUCUCUCAAGCAGAACAGGUGAGGUGGUGCGUUAAGCAUGCAGUAAACAGAACAAGCAAGGUGCUAAGAGCCAAGGCCAUAAUUGAGUACUUUUGUAUAGGGUUCGGCUGUCAACUGCCUAUGGAGAUGAUUUUCGUAAACCAGCAAGGGAACCAUCCAGAUUAGAUGCUUGAGACGGCGCUAAUAGAGUGGUAGUUCAGUUAAGGGAAAAAGUGAGUCGUGGAGAAUGGAGUUUCACAGUGACAGUUCUUGUUGUUGUCGACGAGAUAAGAUUCGAAAGUGGAGUUUGAGUGUUGUCUAGGUUCGGUGCUAGUUUCAUCGCAAGUCCUGUGUUCGGAAACUAGAAGUAAAACACCAGACUCUAAUAGGCAUUUCAAAGGGUAAGGCAAAGAGGGCUUUUGGAACUAAACUACUGAGAGCUAGACACUAACACCACAAUAAACUCUCUAUACCGACCCUAACUCUACUACUCUUAACAACAAGCAAACUGUCAAAUAGCCAGCCCAUUCUCUAAGUUGAACCCAUGUGUAACGUUACUUAUGAUUACCUAUGUUGCCUUCGUUACGCCUCUUGACUCUUGAAAUGCAUUUCUUCCUAAUAUACGGAAUUAGUUUGCUUUGCGCUGGUCCUACUGGUCCUAUAAGAUUCUUCUUUGCGCUUUGAGGUCGAGAGAUAGAUUCUUUGAGUGCAAGGCCAGAUAUCUUCUUUGAUUGGAAAUUGAAUGCAAGGUUGACCUUCUAACGCGUUGUAUUAGUUUACACUGGCCCAACCAACCCUAGAGAUCGAAUACCAGACUGCACACGCACGGCCUCACAGCUUGUUGAAAGCUUCUAACACGAGUUCUCUUAGCAGGGGUUUCAAUGGAUUUCUAUGUUACUUUAUACUUGGAAUCGCAACGAGAUAACUGAACUUAGAAUUAGGGUAAGGGACUGAGCAUCAUAAGGCAAUGCAAUUCAAGUCCAAGGCAAGCAGAGGUGCUAAGAGCCUAUUUCUACGACAAGGGAAGGCGGCACAAACACCUAUUCUUCUAGAAUGACCAAUUAGCCCUACUCUUUAUACUGAUCUCUACUCUUAACCUCGAAGAUAAAUACAAUCCUAUUUCCCUUUGGAACAGGCAAUUCUCUUAAAGUCGACUAAACAGCGGAUUCUGUUACUUCCUACCCCCAAAACCGUAUAAGAUCAUCUCUGGAUGUGGUAGGUAAGACCUCUUGCACACCUUACGAAAGCUGGAAUAUAUUAGUGCUUGUUACUAAGUUAGUUCAUAAGAUAUUCUUUUCUGGCCUUUCUUUCUUAACUCCCUUAACUGACAGAGACCUGAACAAAUACUACUUAAAGCUAUCAACUGUCCUAAGAAUUCAUUUCGAAUCUAUCUAUAGCAGAAGCAUAGGAUCUAUCUAAUGGCAGGAAUAGAAUCCAUCGAGCGCUCAGCUCCCCUAUACAAUAAGGCAGCCAAUAACUUAUCUUGCAACUUACACUCAAACGGAUCCUGAUAAGACUACGACGGAAGAUGAUUAUUCUAGAACAGGUCGAGUACACCGCGCUCUCUGUACCCGAUUAUGAGUGGAAGGCUUGAACUUCAUCUUGAGAGUCGACCAACACAAACGGAAUGAAUUGACUUAACGGCAACACCCCUUCCUACCCAAUUCAAGUAGAUAUGAAACCCCUCCACUCCACCUUUACCGCGGGCAUGGGCUGCAUACUUUUCUCUUAUCUUAUAGGGCGCACCGGACAAGCAAGAAAUGGAGUGACCAACAAGAGCUACGGUUUAUACCCCCAAUAUGGACUUGAGAUUGACAGCCGGCUCUGCUCUAUCUGUUGACUCUAAUGCUAUAUGCGCAUCCCGUACUCCACCAGCUCCUGCAGAAGAUCUUGAUUCUUAUCCCGUUCCUUAUUCGGCAUCUUAUCCUGCUGGUGCUUAUGAUCCUGGAAGUUCAUCAUUUCUUUGAAUCUCCUCUUGAGCACUUGACUUGUUUCUUGCUUCAGUACUAAGAGCUCCAAUCAACAUAAUGACCUACUGGGGAAACGGAAAACUCUAGGAAUUGACACUCUGUUAGCGAUGUAAAGAGAGACUUGUAGGGCAAAUCCACACAAUGAAUGAAAUCUAUCGAGCAAUAAAAUCAAUUGACCUAGAAACAGCUAGCGCACUUGUUCUUGCCCGAACUGAACUCCCUAGGCUUGUUCGUCUUCUUAGGUCUGGACCUGGCAAUACUUAAUGCUUAAGCUUCAAACAGUCAUCUUUCGAGCGGUCAACUCGCUAAUGCCGAUAAAACAGGAACAGGACAUUCUCCACUUCACCUUGCCUCCUUGUAAGUAAUAUAUGAUUCCCCGACCCGAACUCUAUUAACCGGCAGACAAUGCUCUUGCCCGAACUCUAAUAGACUUGACUUAUCCUCUAAAUUGAAAGAUUCCUUUGUCGACUCAACUUGACUUACCGCGACAACACCUAGAUCAUAUAGAGAUGUGGAAUCAGACCUCUUUUGAUACCUAAUUGCUGCUUACUUUAGUCUUGCUGCUGCCUUUCCUUACUCAACUGACAAAAAAAGAUAUUAUACACAAGGAGUUAGAAAACUUGACUUGCACAGGACAACGACUAAGCUCUUGAGCACCAGAUAUAGAGUGAAGUAAAUACUGUGCUUCCCUUGACUCAACACUUGAAGAAUAUGAUAUUUAUUGAGGAUUACCCCAGUUAUAUACUCUCAAAGUCAGGGAACAGAAGGUAUAGCCCUUUGGUUUUGCUAAGUUGAAGUCAUGUUCAAGGGCUGUCCUCGUAUAUGUCUUCUCCCAUCAGUUCAAUUAGCUUCACCGUUUUCCUCAGUGCUGGAAAGAUCCGUAUUUGUGUUUGACCACUUCAUAAUUGUCAGGUAAAGUUGAAGAGGCAAGCAGACGAAUGUUAAUAAGUGCAAGCAACGUAGACAAAAACUGCCCUUUUGAGUUCUAUAGCGGGUGUGAGGUAUCGAUUCUAAGCCGGGUGUUACUUAUCGAAAUUCCAUUCAACAAUCAAUGGAACGGAACCAGCAACUUCACCUUGUAGUUACGUUCGAGCAGAAGACAUAAUAUCAUCAGCAGGAGCAGGUGCAGAAGUAAGAGUUGUUGACUACCCUACGGCGCUAACAGGAGUAGUUGACAGAUAUUUAUCAUCAACAAAGAAGGAUUCCACUCGCCCAGCAACGUCCUGUUUUUGUCUUUCUCGCCUACCAUGUGCUCUUUCUCCAAAGUAAUCAUUUCUGAAUUGAGUUUUUCUAAGGAAUAUAAGAAUGGAGGGUGAAGUUACCCUUAAAAUCACUGGGGGUAGGUACUGUUAAAGCCAACAUGGUUGAAAUAGACUCUAGAAGGCGUAUGUUAUGCAUUCGCGAAGCUUGGGAAAAGGAGGAAGAUGGAGUAAGAGAAUAACCUAUGUGUUCAGCAAGAAAACCAAAGAAAGGGGUUGGACCACACCAACUUAUAAGAAGUGGUCUUAUACUCUGAAUCACUAAUACUAUCCAUUCGCAGAUGAAGUGAAGCAACAAGAGAAGUUCCAGAGUGCUUUUCCUGAAUUCGAGUCACUUUAUGAAACCUCUUAUACCUCUUAUACCUCUUAUACCUAGUAUACCUCUUAUACCUAGUAUACUAUAUCUCUGCAAUCAUUUCAUUAUAUCUCUGCAAUCAUUUCAUUCAAGUUAGACAGCUUUCAAAGGCUAGAAGGGAGAAUAGUGCCCUUUGAAAGGAAGAGAAUGCCGAUACUUUUGAACAAUCUCCCAUCGGAAAAUAUGAUAAUAUCUUAUUAGCUUAUUAUCAGAGGACCUGACAAUUGCCCUCUGGAGCUAUCACGGCUACCUAAUAACCCACCCUACUAGUUCUUCUGGAUGAGUUCAAUCGCAAUGUAGCAUGGCUUUGCUUGCCGCGCUUCAACAGAUUGAACUUAGCAGUUUCUUUCACAAGUAGUUCUCAGUCUCGCCUGUGAUGCGUUUGCUUUGCUUACAUGGUUUUUCCCUGGACUGAUUGGAAAAAACAAGUUGGAUUGGUCCCUGCCGCUUUCUCUGGGCGGGCUGAGUCUAGUUGCUUCCGCCUGUUCGAUGGAAGUUUUCGUUCUGACUUCGCCGAGUCCAUCUCCAUUGAAAUCUCUCGCCCUCGUGAUAUCUCUAGGAGGAAAAGAAUCGGCCUACUAUGCUCUCCCCCAUCUAAGCUUUUGAGGGCAACGGGUGGGGAGGCUAGAGGCUCGCUGAAGGUACUUCUGUCUCUCUUGGCCGGCCUAUGAUUGUCCAGUCAGCCUUCUUUCUUUCCUUAAGAGUGAAUGGCCCUCUUGACUACUCCAUCUCUGUUUUGGAAUUUCAUGGGAUGUGUUGAAUAAGUGAAAAAAGGGACUACUUUACCAUCGCAUCGGGAGAGUACCAGGAAAGGGUUCAGGAGGAACCUUAUCUCAUCACAUCGGGAGAGUACCAGGAAAGGGUUCAGGAGGAACCUUAUCUCAUUGAUUCUUUCUCCUCCAAUUCCCCCCGGGAAAGCAAGCCCUAUGAAACCUCUAUUCCAUCAAGCAAACCCCGAACAGCAGGUAUGAGCCCUUAGAUUCUCGGAGUUCUAACCUCGAUUAUAUUCGAAAAUCACUGCCCUUGGCCAAAGACAGACAUCUAGAUCAUAGGAAGAAUCGCCCCAACGCAAAAGACAGAGGAAAAGCAAUAUCUAAAAGAACAUCACUGACGCAAUUGGAAGAUCCGCCUUGGCAGCAGCUAUUCUUCCUUCGUAGACAAAAGAGAUUGAAUACAAGGAAUCCUCUGUUUAGGCUUAACUACAGGAAUCAAACCUAGAAAAGCGAAGGGCAUAGGUCCACUCUUCCUACAUUGAUAGACCUCUUAUCUAUUGAAUAAGAAAUUCACAUCUAUUUGUAUUUCUUUUGAGGAAGAUGAUAAAGAGACUUAUUACCUGGUCCACUAGUACACCGUAGUUAUUCGAAUUUCUCGCGGUGGUGGUUUCCUCAUAAACCCUCAGCUAUAGAUCCAUGGACGUCUCCAUUCAUUUACCUUCUCCUCCACUCGAGGACAACCAAAUCCUCAUCAGUCCUUUUGAUGCGUUCGAAAGAAAGUAGAGGAAAGAUAAGAGUGACCAUUGAAAGAAGAAAAGAUGUUACCGACACAGAAAGAAGAAAAGAUGUUACCGACACUGGGAGUAUAGCUCCUAUGUUCCGACCAGAGGAAAAAACGAACAUGGCUUUCCUCCAUAUACCUAGGAAAAAACGAACAUGGCUUUCCUCCAUAUACCUAUUAAGAAGGAGAAUGUCUUUUAACGAUAAUUGCCUGCUUUACAGAUUGACGGAUAAGGCGGGAACUCCUUUUCUUCUUGAAAGCAAGUAAGUCCUAGCCUAGUUAGCCUGUCUCGGUCUCAUGGAAAGGGAAAGCUCAAAUAAAUAAGUAUAGAAGCUGGUCUUGAAUAAUUGCUCCGCUAGAAUCAAGAGAACACUUUUGAUAUACGACAACAUGAUUUACUGUAAAACAAUCCAUCCGUUUUCUCCACACAUUGGGCAUUGGUUACAUAACAUAAGGGACCGUUAUCUUGCUGAAGAUUGACUUACCUUUAAAAGCGAAAGUCAGAUGGAAUGAAUGACGCUCCGCUCGCCCCUACUAUUGUGACAUCGACCCUCUCUCUCGCUUAACUAUGUCCCCGCUUCUAUAGUAUUACUUAUCAACUAUAUGUGCCACAGUUAUCCAGACAUUUGUGAUGGUGGUUGUCAUGUCAAUCAGAGGCAGCGCUAACUCCGAUUUCAUAGUUUGCACGAUAUGUAUGCAGACCCUCGUCUACCUUAUUCAACCUAUUCCCCACCAACUAAAGCACAUUACUCACUUACCUCACAAAUCAUGGUGAUUCCGCCUACCCUUUCACUACCUUUGAACUAGUAAGAUUGGCCAAUAACUCCCCUUUCUAUUGUUUUAGCUUAUCAUCCACAGUCUUGUAUAACAGGGCUUUGUCUUCGGUAGUCUAGUGUGUGUAUCUCGCUUCACUCCUCUUGUGAUAGGCAGUAAGAUGAUGGAUGUUAGAAUUGUAUCUCUGCUAAUGGUCUCUCGUAUGAUAAUUGUAUCUCUGCUAAUGGUCUCUCGUAUACAGAAAGAGGUAUGCUGGAUGAAAUGAUGUAUAGUCAAUUCGGGUCCGGAAUUGAUUUAUGUUAGGUAAACAAAUGGAUGGAUAUACUUAAUGUCGCCACGGCACCUUCUUCUUUUCUGUGCGCUAGUUUUCAAUAGGUCGGAAAAGUGGGAAGAAAGCCUUUCAUACAGAAGUGGUGCUGGUCCUAGGACGUGGGGCUCAACUCCGGAAGUAGAACCCCCUCCACAAUCCAUUUCCUAAAGUAUGUAUAAACCUUCUGCACCCAAGGCAUGCCCCAGAGUUCCCCCUCUUUCUUUUUUCAAAGUUCAAUAGUUUAGUUUAGGUUAUGCUUGGUCUUUUGGUAUAUACUCCAAUUCCGCUAUCAUAACUAAGCUCUAAUUCUUUGCUUGCCAAGCAAGGUGGUCAAUAGUUCUUUCUAGUUUGGUAGUGAUAGUUCGCCAAGCUACUACUUUCAAUAGAAAUGGAAGGAGGUGAUUCUGUUGUCUCAGUAUACUUUCCAAUUCUAUAUGUAUGUGCUGCAGCUUAUGUUUCUUAUUCCGUUGUGUUAACACGCUUGCGGAUUCUCUUCUUUGAAGAUUCAUCUACUCUCUAUACUUGGACACAUGCGAUUUGUGCACCGCUCUAUCCCUAUUUCAAAUAACUGAAUGGAGUAUAUGCUUGGUUAGGAGCUUUGAUACUCUUUUCUUUCCUUCCUAACAGACACAGAGACGUAAUUCUUUCAGUCCCGAAAAAGGCCCAGGCGAAAGAAGAGGCCAAGAACAGAACUCCAUGAAGACUCAAACCACUCCCCUGCAUAUAAGUAAUCAAUGAUAUAAGUAAUAAAUGAUAUAAGUAAUAAAUGAGAAAUGAUAUCAGAUCAACGAAGAAAGAGUCCGGAUUAUGUAUUUGAGCGAAGAAAGAGUCCGGAUUAUGUAUUUGAGCCUAAGAACAUAGACCUGUUCGGUAUUCACUCGACACUACUACAUAUCGGCACCAACAUCUACUCACUUCUUGACUGCCCCUUUACCCUUACCCGAUCCCAUGCCCAUGCCUAGCGAUCUAAGCCCGAAAGCAUAGAAUGACUUUUCGAAUUGAUCCAUAUAUUACUCGAUUGCAUGGAAUGACUUUUCUUAUCUAUCUAUAUAUUAACCGAUAGCAAGACAAGCCCUGGAUCCCAAUCCAAUUCCUCUCUCCUGGCAGCAAAGAAAGAAGGGGAGAUCCCCGCUAUCUAUCUACUGGUCACUUAUCCACUGGUCACUUUACUGGCUCAUAACUCGAGCAGUUGCUUGGCCAGACUUAUGCUUAUCCGCCAGGUGGUAACGGGACUACCCUCCUUAUCCUUUGCGGGGUCUACUUCCUUUGUUAUCCCUACCUAUACAUCUUUCCUUUCCCGCGUCGGGGAUGCCGGAAGCAAACACUUUGGAUCUUGUUUAUUUCAUAUUAAUAGUUCGCUCAGUAAAUCCUUCGUUGAAGCAACGGCUUACUCGCAAGAGGAGGCAUAGACUGUGGUGGCUUAUCGAGCAGCUCCACCAGUGCCAUCUAUUACACAGCAGCGGUGAAGCUAGCAGCAGAUACUUUAUGCAUUCCGGGAGAAAGAAAGCAAGUGGUCCCAAGAGCGGAUUUGAGUGCUGGAACUAGUUGUGCUCCUACUCAUACUGGGCCAAAGGACGGGGAUUCAAAUGACAAGAAUAGUGCCCAGCUACAUCAACGGUUCGAAAUCAGUUACUUGUAACAAAUCCAGACAAAGAAGUUGAUCCUUUAGAUUCUAUUGAUCCCCCGGUGAUCCAGUCCCUAUUUAGCAGAGUAGACCGAGGUCGGAAUGGGAUCGGGUCUUUUCACGUCUCACCGUAGUGCCCGUCUUUAUGAACAUAUUGGAUGACUCUGGCUACGUGUCCUUCCUUCCUGCCCUCAGAGCUGAUUCGACGGGAUGCCUAAGAGCAACGAAUUCUUCUUUCCUGAAAGAGCCUAUUCGAGAACAGUAAGAGCAGAUUCGAGGGCAUCAAUUCAUGGUUUCCUCUUCUUUGACUAUUAUACCUACCCAUGGGAACUGUGAACAACCGAUUCUUACACCUCAUCUGCACCUCAAAACAGGGCAUUAUCGAGCAGCUCCUUCUGUAACAGCAGCAGUUGAUUCAAUAGCAACGGAGUCAGUAACGGCGGAUUCUAGCACAACAACCUAUUCUAUAACAAGAAGAGCGGAUACGUCGUUCUUUCAAAGAGCGCUUAUUCCCCUUCAUGUAAAGCCUAUUCUCCUAACAUAAAGCAAAAAGGGAUUCAGGCUCAAGGCACUUUUGGACUCUAUUCCUUCUAAGGAGAGUGAAGAAUCAAUCCAUUGCUUUAAAUACGAAUAGUGGGCGUAUAUUUUCCAGUUACAGAAAGACGUAUAGUUUUAGGGGAAAGGAUAACCAUAGAACCGUUUUGAAAAUGGAUCAGUUGACCCGGUAUACGAAUUCAUUCUAACUAUCAACAAAUUGUGGCUCAAUGGGGAUUGUCAUUCUUUCUACUUUUUCCUUAAUUAAGUCCUAAGUUCUUCAGUAGCUCAGUGGUAGAGCGGUCGGCUGUUAACUGACUGGUCGUAGGUUCGAAUCCUACUUGGGGAGAUUGGAUUCAUGAUUUCUAGGUUAAUGAAGAAUAGAGUGAAAAGGAAGGAAGGGCUCGGACCGUUAGGAGUAUCCGUUCGCUGUCCUUGUUUCUAUUGCAUUCUAUAUCUCAUCUACUCACAUUCUGUUCAACGAUAUAUAAGAAUCGCAAUACCUCGGCUCCGAUCCCUUGUAAAUAUCCAAUUCAUCAUUCUUAGAUGAUGUACUAGCAGUGUCUCCUUUUGAUCAUCGAUUUUCCCGAUAGGCCACAAGCGAGCAAACAUAUUAAUGACGAGGAACGAUUGCAAUACAACUAAUACUAUACUUGUGCUCUGUUAUUCUGUCCAAAAGCCUUUGUGCUUGCUAUGCCACUAAUACUUGAGACUUGUGCUUGCUAUGCCACUAAUACUUCACUUGCGAGGAAGGCUUGCUAUGCCACUAAUACAAAUACUUGCUCUGCAAUUCUUCCCUGGCUGAGGAAGAGUUCUGGGGAGUAACAAAUAUGCUGAUUACGGUAUUGGUUACAAGAGUUCUGGGGAGUAACAAAUAUGCUGAUUACGGUAUUGGUUACAAUAUGUAAUGAUCGAAUCUUUCAUGAGAAAUCCAAAUCAGUAGUAAGGCCAUUCCAUUUCGACAAAGAAAGACCAUUGCAAACCAAGUUCAAUAGCUUUGCGUCCGCUAUCCAUUUUCCUACCCACACCCCUGAGGGAAAGGUCCAAACCAAAAGGUCAGAUUGUAGGCGAGGAGGGAUUCGCCAACACCGUAGCCACGUGCUCUAAUCCUCUGAGCAACAGGCCCCACCCCGUCUCCACAGGAGAAGUUCCCGGGAGUACCAUAAUAAAGGAACCUUUCCUAUCCUCUGCCAUUUCGGGUUAAGAAGAUGUAAAAGGCGCCUUUCUCUCCAUUUCUAUCUAUCUAUAAAGAAAGACAUAAAUCUCACAGUGCGUUCCGAGGUGUGAAGUGAUAGAGAAGAUAAGUCAUAAUUCUCGUUUUUCAUAAGACAGACGACCUUGGCAUUUUGGAUUUCUAUCUAUUUCACAUAUUUCCAAUUAUAGAAUAAAUCAAAUAAGGAAAGGUGUUUUGUUACUAUAUUUCUCAGAUGUUGAAUAGAUAUGAUUUCAUUGAUUUUAGUUUAGAGUGUUUUUCAUUAAUUAUAGAAUAAUGCCUGGGUCCCUUACCUUAGAAUCGAAAACACAAGAUUCAUCCCAGUAUGCACGGAGCCAGAAAGGCAACCCCCCUUGAAACCAUGGGAAGCUAUCAUGGAAGAAUUGAACCUCGUUGAAAUAGUUUCUCUUUCUAUUUCCUUACCGUAGGUUAGUAAAGGAAGGCUUACCAUUGUGCAUUAAUCCCUCUUUCCUUUCAAUUCAAAGAAGAUGUUUUCCCAUAGAAACCGUCAUCUCUCUGUGUCCAUCGCUCUUUGUUUGGUUGGUGGAAUGCUCUCACCGAAGGCUUGGGAUAUUUUUGGAAAGCUUUCAUAGCGGGUUAGUGUAUUAGUUGCUACUAAAAUGGAACUAGCUAGCAGCUUAAGUUAGGAAGGAAGUGGCUAGAGCAUCUACCCCGGGUUCAUGAACUUACAGACUUGCUUGGUCAGCUACAUCUUUAUGGUUCUAACAAGCGACGCUUCCCUCUCUUACCACACAAAGCGAUUCGUGCACAUAGUCUCAAUCUAGUAUGUCGAAUACCUAUGACUUCGAAUACAGCCAACAGUAAUGAAGUUAGUAAAGUAGUAGGAAGCUAAAGACAGUUUAAGGCAUUGAGCUAACCAACGACUAAUGACCAAGCCAGGCAAGCAACUACGACUGAACCUUGGAACUACCCUUUCUCAUGGAUACUUUCCUGGAACUGAACCGAACCUUUCUACUAUUCCUGGAGUGGAGACAACACCUCCGAUUCUCCCUCUCUGGUCUACUUUACUCACACAACGGAUUCAGUUGCGAGAAUACACAUUGCAUCCAAGUUCUUAUAAUUACCCGUAUC
rnacentral:lncRNA from 1 species